rnacentral:rRNA from 1 species
UACAGAGGGGGCAAGCGUUAUUCGGAAUUAUUGGGCGUAAAGGGCGCGUAGGCGGCUUGGCAAGUGGAUGGUGAAAUCCCUCGGCUUAACCGAGGAACUGCCGUCCAAACUGCUUAGCUUGAGACCGGGAGAGGUGAGUGGAAUUCCCAGUGUAGCGGUGAAAAUGCGUAGAUAUUGGGAGGAACACCAGUGGCGAAGGCGGCUCACUGGACCGGUACUGACGCUGAGGCGCGAAAGCGUGGGGAGCAAAGCGGGGAUUAAGAU